GAUGAACGCUGGCGGCGUGCCUAAUACAUGCAAGUCGAGCGAACAGACGAGGAGCUUGCUCCUCUGACGUUAGCGGCGGACGGGUGAGUAACACGUGGAUAACCUACCUAUAAGACUGGGAUAACUUCGGGAAACCGGAGCUAAUACCGGAUAAUAUAUUGAACCGCAUGGUUCAAUAGUGAAAGACGGUUUUGCUGUCACUUAUAGAUGGAUCCGCGCCGCAUUAGCUAGUUGGUAAGGUAACGGAUUACCAAGGCAACGAUGAGUAGCCGACCUGAGAGGGUGAUCGGCCACACUGGAACUGAGACACGGUCCAGACUCCUACGGGAGGCAGCAGUAGGGAAACUGCCGCAAUGGGCGAAAGACUGACGGAGCAACGCCGCGUGAGUGAUGAAGGUCUUCGGAUCGUAAAACUCUGUUAUUAGGGAAGAAAAAAUGUGUAAGUAACUAUGCACGUCUUGACGGUACCUAAUCAGAAAGCCACGGCUAACUACGUG
rnacentral:rRNA from 1 species